AAAGGUAAGCUACUAAGAGCGAAUGGUGGAUGCCUUGACUGGUAAAGGCGAUGAAGGACGUACUAGACUGCGAUAAGCUACGGGGAGCUGUCAAGAAGCUUUGAUCCGUAGAUUUCCGAAUGGGGCAACCCAAUGUAUAGAGAUAUGCAUUACCUAUAUAGGAGCGAACGAGGGGAAUUGAAACAUCUUAGUACCCUCAGGAAAAGAAAUCAAUAGAGAUUGCGUCAGUAGCGGCGAGCGAAAGCGCAAGAGGGCAAACCCAGUGCUUGCACUGGGGGUUGUAGGACUGCAAUGUGCAAGAGGUAAGUUUAGCAGAACAUUCUGGAAAG
rnacentral:rRNA from 1 species